CCUACGGGUGGCAGCAGUGAGGAAUAUUGGUCAAUGGGCGGAAGCCUGAACCAGCCAAGCAGCGUGCAGGAUGACGGCUCUACGGGUUGUAAACUGCUUUUAUACGGGAUUAACGCGCCUUACGUGUAGGGCUUAGCAUGUACCGUAUGAAUAAGGACCGGCUAAUUCCGUGCAAGCAGCCGCGGUAAUACGGAAGGUCCGGGCGUUAUCCGGAUUUAUUGGGUUUAAAGGGAGCGUAGGCGGCAUGGCAAGCGUGCUGUGAAAUGUCCGGGCUCAACCCGGGCCUUGCAGCGCGAACUGGCGUGCUUGAGUCCGCGGAAGGCAGGCGGAAUUCGUCGUGUAGCGGUGAAAUGCUUAGAUAUGACGAAGAACCCCGAUUGCGAAGGCAGCUUGCUGCAGCGGAACUGACGCUGAUGCUCGAAAGCGCGGGUAUCGAACAGGAUUAGAUACCCUUGUAGUC
rnacentral:rRNA from 1 species